rnacentral:lncRNA from 1 species
UGGCAUCUUCGUGCAAUUAAACCUUCUUAAAAGUGGCUCCUCUCUUGCCCUUCCCUAGCUGCAUGUGGGAAACAACGCGCAAGAGUUUUUAAAGUGAGACGGGCCAAGUUUUGACCCACCCAGCCUGGCCUGUGAAGGCGUCCUGGAGAUCGGACACCCACCACGAAGGCGGCAUCCGAGAAGCUUUCAAGACAGGAACUGCAUAUGACGGGACUUCCUCGCUCUCAUUUGUAGAGAGAACAAAGGCAAGUAUUUGAUUCGUCUUCUAUUAAGUAAGUAAGAUUCUAAGAACAUACUCUGUUGUAAAAACUGAACAUGCAGAAAAAUGUGGCAAGAAGCUGAAGACAACAUCCAUGACCAACCAAAAAAGAAAAAAAAUAAUAAAGU